rnacentral:rRNA from 1 species
CACGAACGCUGGCGGCAGGCUUAACACAUGCAAGUCGAGCGCCCCGCAAGGGGAGCGGCAGACGGGUGAGCAACGCGUGGGAAUCUACCCAUCUCUACGGAAUAACGCAUGGAAACGUGUGCUAAUACCGUAUACGUCCUUCGGGAGAAAGAUUUAUCGGAGAUGGAUGAGCCCGCGUUGGAUUAGCUAGUUGGUGGGGUAAAGGCCUACCAAGGCGACGAUCCAUAGCUGGUCUGAGAGGAUGAUCAGCCACACUGGGACUGAGACACGGCCCAGACUCCUACGGGAGGCAGCAGAGGGGAAUAUUGGACAAUGGGCGCAAGCCUGAUCCAGCCAUGCCGCGUGAGUGAUGAAGGCCCUAGGGUUGUACAGCUCUUUCACCGGUGAAGAUAAUGACGGUAACCGGAGAAGAAGCCCCGGCUAACUUCGUACCAGCCGCCGCAGUAAGAC